AUUGUUGGUUUGAAGACUUCAGCAUCCAUCAAACUACUUUUAGGCAAACAUGUCUUUCCAAAGUGCUUCAUCUUCAGUAGUUGUCACUGGUGUCCAGCUUUACACUGCAGCAAACUCUAGCCAGUAUCACCUGUCCAGCCAUCAGCCUGACUGGAGGACUUCAUGCUCCCCUCUCAUGUUUGUGAUGACUAACAAGAGAUCUCAUGUUUAUGUGAUUUCAGGCAAGACCAUAAGUACUGUAGAGCAUUCAGUUACUGUCCUUCAAGCCCCUCAUACAUCAUGCUAUAUAUAAAUGAUUGUUUAUAUAUUGUUGUUCUCCUCAGGUGGAUGCUGCUCUCUUCAGCCUAAGGAUCAACCUGUGACCGAACAGGUUUCCUCAGCUGCACAGAGUGUACAGAGCGAGUUAAUGUGAGCACAGAUGCAUCAAGCAUCCUAUAAUGUACUUUUGUGUGUUGAACUUGGCUGGUGAACUGAUCUUAAUAUCAUGCCAAUGCAUCUUCUGCAGCUCUGAGGAGAUUGUUCCCGGCUGCGGCAUCAGUGUCCCAUUAUUCUGCAGUUGCUGCAAAUCACCCUGACUGUGAAUCAGGUCACCAAAAAGAUGGCUGAAGAGGGUGGACAAACAGCUUGAGAUGUAUUGCAGUGUAGAUGAAAUUUACCUGGAUAUAUAUUAGUAAAUGAAUAUAUAUUAGAA